rnacentral:rRNA from 1 species
GACAGAGGAUGCAAGCGUUAUCCGGAAUGAUUGGGCGUAAAGCGUCUGUAGGUGGCUUUUUAAGUCCGCCGUCAAAUCCCAGGGCUCAACCCUGGACAGGCGGUGGAAACUACCAAGCUGGAGUACGGUAGGGGCAGAGGGAAUUUCCGGUGGAGCGGUGAAAUGCGUAGAGAUCGGGAGGAACACCUGUGGCGAAGGCGGCCCCCUGGGCCGCGCCUGACGCUGAGACGCGAAGGCUAGGGGAGCGAACGGG